UUAUACAAAGAUCAAAGAAGCGUGGUAAAACUGGUCUUCAAUGGUUUUAAUUCUGACCGAUUGUCUUGGUUUUCGAUGGAAAGAUUUAUUGGAAGUGAGAACUACCGAAGACUCGAUGAUCGAAAUUACAUCUAUUUUAAUAUUGAAGGAGAUUUUCGAUGCAAUAGAAGAUUUUUUAUUGACGAUUUUCUCGUGAUAAAUGACGGUAAUCCAGAAUGUGUAUAUAAUCAAGACAAUUUGCCACAGCUUAUAUGUUGCCAAGACAGGCAUAACGGUGAUUGUAAGUUCGCUGACACAAUGGAAAUACAUGUUAUGCUCCAGGAUGAACAAUUCAUCUAAUGGAUAUAUCUAUGAUAUUGUUAUUUUUCUGUUUUACCAACAAAGGACUAUAUUCUGUCAUAUCCAGUGCAACCCAAACGAAAAAAGAAAUUCUAAAAGGUAAUUGCAGACUUGAAAGCAAAAAUUAUCACCAUCUAAGACAACA